UACGAAGGGUGCAAGCGUUACUCGGAAUUACUGGGCGUAAAGCGUGCGUAGGUGGUUUGUUAAGUCUGAUGUGAAAGCCCUGGGCUCAACCUGGGAAUGGCAUUGGAUACUGGCGAGCUAGAGUGCGGUAGAGGGUAGUGGAAUUCCCGGUGUAGCAGUGAAAUGCGUAGAGAUCGGGAGGAACAUCUGUGGCGAAGGCGACUGCCUGGACCAGCACUGACACUGAGGCACGAAAGCGUGGGGAGCAAACAGG
rnacentral:rRNA from 1 species